GAUGGGCCCGCGGCGCAUUAGCUAGUUGGUGAGGUAACGGCUCACCAAGGCGACGAUGCGUAGCCGACCUGAGAGGGUGAUCGGCCACACUGGGACUGAGACACGGCCCAGACUCCUACGGGAGGCAGCAGUAGGGAAUCUUCCACAAUGGACGAAAGUCUGAUCCAGCAACGCCGCGUGAGGGAUGACGGCCUUCGGGUUGUAAACCUCUUUCAGCAGGGACGAAGCGCAAGUGACGGUACCUGCAGAAGAAGCACCGGCCAACUACGUGCCAGCAGCCGCGGUAAUACGUAGGGUGCGAGCGUUGUCCGGAAUUAUUGGGCGUAAAGGGCUCGUAGGCGGUCUGUCACGUCGGGAGUGAAAACUCGGGGCUCAACCCCGAGCCUGCUUCCGAUACGGGCAGACUAGAGGUAUGCAGGGGAGAAUGGAAUUCCUGGUGUAGCGGUGAAAUGCGCAGAUAUCAGGAGGAACACCGGUGGCGAAGGCGGUUCUCUGGGUAUUACCUGACGCUGAGGAGCGAAAGUGUGGGGAGCGAACAGGAUUAGAUACCCUGGUAGUCCACACCGUAAACGUUGGGCGCUAGGUGU
rnacentral:rRNA from 1 species